AUCCCAGAUACGGGUGUUUUUGUGGUUAUCUGAUUUAUGGGAGGCAGAAAACAUAAUGGCUAUUUGCUGAUAGCACCUUUUGGUCAUAGAAAGGUGUUUUACUAGUGCUUUACUAUACAAAU
rfam:Populus trichocarpa scaffold_17_contig_394, whole genome shotgun sequence.